rnacentral:rRNA from 1 species
AGAGCGAACGCUGGCGGCAGGCCUAACACAUGCAAGUCGAACGGACUCUUCGGAGUUAGUGGCGGACGGGUGAGUAACACGUGGGAACGUGCCUUUAGGUUCGGAAUAGCUCCUGGAAACGGGUGGUAAUACCGAAUGUGCCCUUCGGGGGAAAGAUUUAUCGCCUUUAGAGCGGCCCGCGUCUGAUUAGCUUGUUGGUGAGGUAAUGGCUCACCAAGGCUACGAUCAGUAGCUGGUCUGAGAGGAUGACCAGCCACAUUGGGACUGAGACACGGCCCAAACUCCUACGGAGGCAGCAGUGGGGAAUCUUGCGCAAUGGGCGAAAGCCUGACGCAGUCAUGCGCGUGUAUGAUGAAGGUCUUAGGAUUGUAAAAUACUUUCAACCGGUGAAGAUAAUGACUGUAGCCGGAGAAGAAGCCCCGCUAACUUCGUGCCAGCAGCCGC